rnacentral:misc_RNA from 1 species
GACGAGAGAAGACUGGAGGUU